UACGGAGGAUGCGAGCGUUAUCCGGAUUUAUUGGGUUUAAAGGGUGCGUAGGCGGGCUUUUAAGUCAGCGGUAAAAAUUCGGGGCUCAACCCCGUCCGGCCGUUGAAACUGGGGGUCUUGAGUGGGCGAGAAGAAGGCGGAAUGCGUGGUGUAGCGGUGAAAUGCAUAGAUAUCACGCAGAACCCCGAUUGCAAAGGCAGCCUUCCGGCGCCCUACUGACGCUGAGGCACGAAAGUGCGGGGAUCGAACAGG
rnacentral:rRNA from 1 species